AGUCAUGUUGGAUUUUGAUCUUGACUUUCUGACCAUCAGUCAUACACAAUGAAUUGAACAACUGAGAAGAUGGUUUUAUUUAAGCUGUUGCAAGAAAGGUAACUUCUACCCACAGGAGUCUUGUUGACAAAGAUGUUAUCUGAGUCAUUGAGAUAGGGUGAAGAUGUAUUUUAUCAGGGAUUAUUACGAGAGAGAAGAGAGGAUGUAGAAACUCUGGACUUGCCUUUGCCGCACAUCUCCAAGAAAAGGCGGACUGUUCAGAUGACAAGUAGCACACAGGCUUGGAGUCCCAAGACACUUUGUUGUGUAUUUCUAGAUGUACAUGAGAGAAAUGUGUUUGGAAAAAGUUGUCAUGGAUGUCAUAAUCCUACCAAAUCAGGAAGCUGAAAACAUGAAGUGCAAAGAAUGUACAGCUGAAGAACUAAUGUCUGGUUUAGAAGAUCAAUGACAUCAUCAUCAUCCCAGAAGAUUGUUACAAAUGGAAAUAGUUUACUUUAUCCCAAAUUUAUUGAAUCAGGAAUUACAUUUUAACAGAAUUCCUAGGGUAUCUAUAUGUGCAUUGAAAUUAACUGACUCCUACUGUAGACCAACACUAUUAUUUUACAUACAAUAAAAUCUUAGAUCUGGAAUGUUCAAGCCAGAGCCUGAA